UUAGCAUACAUUUUCAGGAUUUUAUUUCUCCGUUUUCUCAUUAUUUUAAGCUUCGACUGAGGAGAUUUGGGCCAGAAAAAUUAAUGACUGAGGCAACCUGGAUGGUUUUAAAAAUUCUCUUCCUAGGUAUUUAGGGUGUUUUUGAUGACUAUAAGCAACAAAAGCGAAAAAUGGCCAAGGCAGGUACCUCGGUUUGCCUGUUACUAGCCACAGCCCUGAGGAUAUAUCAAACAUUCGCGACCCUUUUAGACCACAUUUCAAAAUACCCCAAAGUUCGUCAAAACACUCCGCUACCUGUCCUUUUUCUCUUGUCGGUCCAAACAUGAUCUUUCGUGUUUAUAAAUUAGUAUAUUACGUCUUGAUCACUUGUUACAAAGAAAUGACCAUACUUAUUUAUUAACUAUUUUUAGACUCGACCAAAUUAAUUUCACAGAUAUGAUAGUGAAGUAUUUUUAGCUUCUCAAACACUUUUACAUGAGCCGCCGGCUCGGAGGACUGGGUAACCACCCCCUGUAAAUAUGACGUUAAAUGAAUUAUCUUAUCUAAUCCUAUCUUAUCUUAUCCUAUGGUGUAAUUGAUCACCACAAGAGCCGGAGGACAUCCGGAGUAAGCUGCAGAUCACAAUUUGUGAAAUUGAAAAUAUGGGGAUCCUAUUAUCUAGACUCAACCGGAGGUUAAGAAUUAACUAAACAAACAAUUUAGUACUACGUCAAUUUUUUUAAUGUACAUUUCAUUCACAAUAGUUGUACCUUUGCAGGGACAUGUGGAAUUACCUUGAUGUUAUUACCCUUCUUAUCUACGUCCUGAUCGUGAUCCUGCGUGUAGUGGCCAUUGCGCGUGGUGGUGACCCUUACCAUAAUCGUUUGCUGGAAUUUGCCCACUACUUCUAUGGUGUCAACACGAUGCUCUUGGUCUUGCGCUUCUCCAGUGUCUUAGAGCUCAGUUCAGUCGUAGGUCCUUUACAACUGGCAUUGUUUCGAAUGCUUAUUGACCUCCUGAUUAUUCUUGUACAGUUUUUCUUCGUAAUGAUAGCCUUCUCGUUGGUCAUUACAAAGUGCUACAUGGCAGAAAUGUCAUACAUGACUUCAACUAAUAACCAAACAGAAGUCGUGGCCAAAUACAAUGUGUAUUGCGAACAAGGAGCCAUCCAUUGCUUGUACAAGACUUCCAGGCAGGUCAUGUGGUCGGUGUUUGGUCUAACAAACUUAAAGCAAUUGGAAUCUCAUACUAGUCUCACCUCUGAAAUUGUGGCAGUUUUAUAUUUGAUAUUCUUGAUUUUGUCCGUUAUCAUGUUGGUCAACAUUCUGGUGGCUUUACUCAACAACACAUACACCAAUGUCACGGCCAAUGCAGAAGUCGAGUGGAAAUAUUCCCGGGCUGUUGCUGAAAAUCAAUACAGGAAUCUUCAUUGCAUUGUUGUGCCGUUCAACUUGUUGUCUGUUCCACUCAAAUUAUGGUACUUCAAAACCAACGGUAACCGCAACUCUCGCAAAGAGGACGCAGAUAAUCGACUGAAAGAAUACAGGAUCUUUUACCGCGAUUGUUUGUUUCCGACAAUCACCAAGCGCUACACAAAGAACUACGGUGAUCACUUCCUUUGUCGAUUGAAGAAAAGAUUGACUUGAUAAUCAAGGACAAGUUACAAAUCUCAAACUUUGAUAAAAGUGCCACAGAGAAACAAGAUGAAUACCUGGGUGCCUUUAAAGAUCGCAUCACCGAAAGUACUUCCGUCGUUGUUCAUUUUCCAAAGAACGAAAGUACAUCGAAUGGAGUGGGAGCAAAGCCCUCCUUGACCGACUGUCAUAUACAGCUGUCGUCCAUUGCUUAGACUAGGGUUCCCCUCUAAUCAAAAAUGGCAACAUAUGCAUGUGUAGGAACGGUAGAAUCCCAAUUUCUCGAACCCACGAUUUUUGGAAUCUCCCGAUAACUCGAACGAAACUUGUUUCCCUCGUCUCAGUGGAACAUUGUAAUCAGUUUACCCGACUUUUCAAACCAAUUUUCGUUUCCUGUGGAGUGUCGAAAACUCCGGGAAUCCACUGUAUUGUGAGCCAAGUCAUCAUUAGUUCUCGUAGGGGUAAAAUUGGGUGUGUUUAUAUUUCUUGUUUUCUUAGGUAAGGUUAUAUGUAAGGAGAUUAACCAUUUUUUUUGGUUAAACAUAUUUGUUAUUGUUUUCCCCAAAAGCACCUAGGCUUAUCAAGGGGGAUUACAAAUUUACAAUUUUGACUUCAUUUAUUCACUGACUCACACUCAAACAACACUCAAAAACUGCACUGAAAACGAGUUAAGUUCACAUAUCUAGAAAUAUUAUUUUAACAAUCAAGCAGUGGCCACCGAAGAGCCAUUAGUGUUAAAUAUAAAACUUUACACUUCCCAAAAAAACACAGUUGGCAUCGUAAUUUAAUUAACAAUUUAGUUUCCUAGCGUCGCCUCACGAUGAACAUGUUUCUCUGACAUCUCCUUAUUUGUUUCUCUUGACUUGAUUAUUAACCCAAUUACGAAGUGUACCCACUUCAAAGUGUAAAGAAGCAAAAAGAAAGGAUUUGGCUGUCCUCGUACAGAAAAAGGGUUUUGUUUCUGUUUACUUAAGGAAGUUGUUUUGUCACUGAUAUGUAAUACAAUAGUAAGUGUGCUCCAUAGAGGGGAAGAUCCAAACGUAAGCGUCGUUCUUGCUUGGUUCCUUUAUGCUAGUGACGUGCAUAGUUGCAAGAAUGCAAUCCUGGUCAAAAGUUUUGGGACACUUUGCACUUAUGCCAACAUGGUCUUCCUGUCUACCUCCCCCUCGCCACCCCCAACACGAUGUUGAGAUUGAUUUCUCCAAAGAAGACCCACUAUCCCUCGACAAAUUAAUUAAUGACUUCCCACUUCAAAGUAAUGCGUCACCGGUUGUCAUUUUGUGUCCCAAGGACUUUUGGCCAGGAUUGUAGAUAUGAGCUGAUAUGCAAAGAAACAAAAUUUGUACAAGCCAUACGUUAGAACGUAUACAUAUUGGCAAGCAGAUGAUCUCAUUUAAUUAAGGCAAUUGAUCUUUGGAAAACCAUCCCUAACACCUAAAAGAUCUAAACGUGAGUAGGCUUUUUCUAAAACAUCAAAUGCUAUCUACUGUCUAAACAAUUUCCAAAACAACUGACUUCCUGUAGCCAUUGCUAUUUGCUCUGUUUAAACUCGCUCUCUCCUAACUUGUCCGUUUUACCUUACUUUUUAUCUUAUUUCACUGUAAUUGUAAUUUGUUUUGUUCGAUUGCAGCUCAUUAUGUCUAUUAUUUCUAUUAUUUUCUCCGGUCCUUUCUGGUUCCUCACCAGCUGUACCGAUAAAGUAACUAAAUUUGUAAAUAUGGGGGCCAACUAGAAAACCGAAUGGUUUGCUUGAUCCCCAUACUCUAAAUUUAAUAUUUAUUAAUUCGAAAAGAUACAUUACAAACAUUAAAAACUGAAUUUAAUUU